AUAAAUCUGCAGCGAGCAGAGGGCUAUUUGUGGGAGAUUUCCCUGAUGCCCUUGUUUUUCGGAGGCUCGAAGGAUGUAUAAUGAAGAAAUACACAGAUGCUUUUCCUAGAUGUAUCUGUGUCAAACUGGAUUUAACAUCAGAAUUAUCUCUCCCUAAACACAAGGUAACACAAUGAAUUUCAAAGAGAAUGGCAACAGAUCACUCUGCUCGUACAUGGCUAUGGAAUCUCUGUUCCGUGCAUAAUUCACGAUAGCUUGAUGUCAAGUCUUUGCUGCACUCAAAUGAAGAGAUAAAAAAAAUAUAAUAAAGCGUAGCCACCUGUGAUGGGAAAAAUCUGAGAUAAACCUAAGAGAAGCUACAUAUGUUGGAUCUAUUCACUUUAAUUUUUUAGGAGCACUGCAAAGAUUCAUUAGGCAGCAUAACAGUUGCUGACAGAAUCAUGUAUACCUUUUUUUAUUUUCAUUUUCCAGUUAUGUGGCUGAAGUUUAAUGCAUUUUUAUGGAAUUAUACAGGAAUCUAAAGGCUGACAUUUUGAAAAGCAGAAGCGUCACUGAAGAAAUGGAGCAACUGAAAGUCAAGGCUGUGAUACAUCAAAUAACUGGUGUUUCCCACCUGUUAUGAACAUGUACAAGGAAAAUCAAUUGCAAGUUGGUGCCCUUUCUUUUUGAAGCCAUCCACUGAAGACAGGAUUAGUCUUUUCUGGUGGGUCUGUUGGAUGCAUUUAUUCUCACAUUUGUAAGUAUCUAACUCAACCAUUAGAGCUGGAGUUUGGAGUCUGCUUUGGAUCUUUCUAUACUUGACCUUAGACAAUGUGCAUCUUCAUCUUACUCAAGUGGUAAACACCACUGUGAUGUUGCCUUUCUCUUUCCAUUUAUAUAAAGUUAGUCUACAGUGACCAUGUACUGUAAAUCUGUCAGGUAGAAGAGAUGAAUCUGAGUAUGAACAGUGAGUGUAAGGAUAAUAUAUGAUGUUGAAUUGUACCAUAUAUGAGGGAAGAAUUCUACUGGUUUUUCA